rnacentral:rRNA from 1 species
UACGUAGGGGGCAAGCGUUGUCCGGAAUCAUUGGGCGUAAAGAGCGUGUAGGCGGCCCGGUAAGUCCGCUGUAAAAGUCAAAGGCUCAACCUUUGAAUGUCAGUGGAUACUGUCGGGCUAGAGUCCGGAAGAGGCGAGUGGAACUCCUGGUGUAGCGGUGGAAUGCGCAGAUAUCAGGAAGAACACCAACGGCGAAGGCAGCUCGCUAGGACGGUACUGACGCUGAGACGCGAAAGCGUGGGGAGCGAACAGG